AUACUUUUAUAAGGUUCUUCUAGAUUAUAUUGAGGGUAUUACAAAGCAUUUAAAGUCAACGAAUUGGUUUGGUAUGUUUUGGGAAGAAUCGCGACCACGGUAUGCGUUGGGGGAAAUUAGCGAAGACAAAAAAUGGACGACAAGAAGAACGUCUGCCACUACUUGAAGUAUUAUUUCCUAAACGGUUUCAAAAUGAAUAUCCAAUUGCAUUCAAUAAUUUUAAAGUUAACAGUAAUCGUUUGAUUACGCCUUAUGAUCUACACGAAACUCUGUUAGAUCUUACCAAAAUCGAUAAUUUGCAAAACAGUAAUUUAUCAAGGAGAUUAAAUCUAGUUAAUUCCAAGACAAAUAAAAGCAGUCUGUUUCUGCCUAUAUCAGAAAAAAGAACUUGUCCAUCCAUCGGCAUUGAAGAUCAUUGGUGUACAUGUUCAUUGGGACAACGAAUUAAAAUUACCAAAAAUAUCAGACUUUCGGCAUCCUGAUACCUAGUCAGCCACAUUAACAAGCUGUUAAGUGCAUACCCACAAUGUGAUAGACUAUCUUUGAAACAAAUAAUAAACAUUAAUGCGGUACAAGCCGAAAAAGACAAAGGCAAGAUUUUCACAGUAUCCAUAAAAACCACUCCAGGAGAUGCAGUGUUUGAUAGUACUUUAUAUCAUAGACUAAAACAAUGGGCGGUUUCUGGAAUGAUCAGCCGCCUUAAUCGUUAUAAUAAUCAGAGCAUUUGCGUUGAUGAUGCUAUAAUAAAACUGUAUUGUUAUUGCAGAUUAUAAUAUUGUUAACAUGACUUA